GAUGAACGCUGGCGGCGUGCCUAAUACAUGCAAGUCGAGCGAACGGACAAGAAGCUUGCUUCUCUGAUGUUAGCGGCGGACGGGUGAGUAACACGUGGAUAACCUACCUAUAAGACUGGGAUAACUUCGGGAAACCGGAGCUAAUACCGGAUAAUAUUUUGAACCGCAUGGUUCAAAAGUGAAAGACGGUCUUGCUGUCACUUAUAGAUGGAUCCGCGCUGCAUUAGCUAGUUGGUAAGGUAACGGCUUACCAAGGCAACGAUGCAUAGCCGACCUGAGAGGGUGAUCGGCCACACUGGAACUGAGACACGGUCCAGACUCCUACGGGAGGCAGCAGUAGGGAAUCUUCCGCAAUGGGCGAAAGCCUGACGGAGCAACGCCGCGUGAGUGAUGAAGGUCUUCGGAUCGUAAAACUCUGUUAUUAGGGAAGAACAUAUGUGUAAGUAACUGUUCACAUCUUGACGGUACCUAAUCAGAAAGCCACGGCUAACUACGUG
rnacentral:rRNA from 1 species